UCUCAAAAAAAAAAAAAAAAAAAAGUAAUACAGGACACAGCCAAUGGGUGGUGGCUGAUGCCUCUACUCCCAGCCCUUUGGGAGUCUGAGGCAGGAGGAUUGCUUGAGGCCAGGAAUUUGAGAGCAGACU